UACAGAGGUCUCAAGCGUUGUUCGGAUUCAUUGGGCGUAAAGGGUGCGUAGGCGGCGCGGUAAGUCGGGUGUGAAAUCUUGGAGCUUAACUCCCGAAACUGCAUUCGAUACUGCCGUGCUUGAGGACUGGAGAGGACGACUGGAAUUUACGGUGUAGCGGUGAAAUGCGUAGAUAUCGUAAGGAAGACCAGUGGCGGAAGGC
rnacentral:rRNA from 1 species